UGGGAUGACGUCAAGUCCUCAUGGCCCUUAUAGGUGGGGCUACACACGUCAUACAAUGGCUGGUACAAAGGGUUGCAACCCGCAGGGGAGCCAAUCCCAUAAAGCCAGUCGUAGUCCGGAUCGUAGUCUGCAACUCGACUACGUGAAGUCGGAAUCGCUAGUAAUCGUGGAUCAGAAUGUCACGGUGAAUACGUUCCCGGGUCUU
rnacentral:rRNA from 1 species